rnacentral:lncRNA from 10 species
CUUUUUCGCCCCGCCCUUCAAAUGCGAAAGCGACUGCCUUCUUGGACAGGGUGUCGCCAUGUUUGCCAGGCUGGCCUCGAACUCCUGACCUCAAGUGAUUUGCCUGCCUUGGCUUCCCAAAGUGCUGGGAUUACAGGCAUGAGCCACCACGUCUGGACAUAAACCCAGUAAUUUUGUACGAUUUAUAAAACAAUGUAGUCUGCAGGAACUAAGGCUAUGUUUUGCCUCAAAUGUUCUUUGUUUUCAGAAUAAAAUACUUGGUCAGUGGAAUCUCUUCAACAAAAUAGAAGAGAAGCAGUCAUGGAGUGAAGAAAUAAAUCAUCUUUGUUUCUACUCAUCUGUCACUUAUGCAAUACAUACAAUAUGUAAAAAGGAAAAAUCCCUGUGUAAUAGCCUAAGGCAACCAGCAGCUUCCACGUCGGUUGGAUAUUAAUAAAUUUUUUUCUUUACUGUAAAAUAUA